AAGUAAAGUCGUAACAGGUUUCGUAUGAACCUGCGGAAGAUCAUUAAAAAUGAGACCUCGAUUUUGAAGGUCUAUUAAUAAUCUACCUUUGUGAAUUUGUUUGUUUAUUAUGUGUCUUUCCUGUUUUGAAGCUUGUUUAACAAAUCAAUCCAGGAAUGGCAAAACUUUUUUUAAAUUAAACUUUUGUAUUCAUUUGUCUAAAAUUAUUUUUAUAAUAUAAAAACAACUUUUGACAAUGGAUCUCUUGUUCUCGCAACGAUGAAGAACGCAGCAAAAGCGAUAAGUAGUGUGAAUUGCAGAAUACGUGAAUCAUCGAAUCUUCGAACGCAUAUUGCACUUUUUUGGUUACAAAAAAGUAUGUCUGUUGAGUAUCAGUAAAUAUUCUCAUAAAAACUAUUUGUUUUAUGGUUAUGAGUUUUACAACGAUAAACAAGUUGUUUCACUUAAUUCUUGUCUUUUAAAAAAUCAUUAAAAACUGAUUUUUUUAAAUGGAUAAAAUUUCCCGUAAAAAGGAAUAACCUAACAAUUUAAAUUAAAUUGUUUGAUUUCUUUUAAGAUCAAAGAAAAAAAGUAAAAUUAACUUAUCUCAAAUCAAUAAGAGUACCGCUGAACUUAAGCAUAUCAAUAACGGAGAAAAGAACUAACAAGAUUCCCUUAGUAACGGCGAGUGAAGCGGAAGAGCUCAAUUUGAAAUCUUCAAGGUUACCUUGACGAAUUGUAGUUAAAGAAGUGUUUCUGUUGAGUUUUGGUAAAAGUCUUGGAAUAGGACAUCAUAGAGGUGAGAAUCCGUAUUUGACCAUUAUUCCACUUGUGAUACACUUUCAAAGAGUCGGAUUGUUUGGGAAUGCGUCCAAAAUGGUGUAAAUUCAUCUAAAGCUAAAUUGGCGAGAGACCGUAGCGAACAAGUACCGUGAGGAAAGAUGAAAAGAACUUGAAAAGAGAGUUAACAGUACGUGAAAUUGUCAAAGGGAAGCGUUUGACACCAGUGUUGUUUUCUCGAAAUCAAUUAAAAAGAUGGAUUUUGUUGUAUGACUUUAUCAGCUUUCUGCACUUUUUUCUUAUUUUUUAAUGCACUUCGUUAACAAUCAACAUCAAUUCUUUGUUGUAAAAGAGUCAUUGGAAGGUGGCUUUUUUCGGAAAAGUGUUAUAGCUUUGGCUUCUGCAAUCGGAGAGAUUGAGGUCUGCAGCGUAAUCUUCGGGUAGAUACUUGUGCUAGUUAGCUUCAUAGACAUUUUGAUAUACAUCAUGUGCUUACUCGCUUAUGCUAUUUUACCUACCUUAGGAUUUGA
rnacentral:misc_RNA from 1 species